rnacentral:rRNA from 1 species
CUGUCGCUUUAAGUGACCUAAAGGAACGUUUAAGACUAAGACGUUGAUAGGCUGGGUGUGUAAGCGUAGCGAUACGUUGAGCUAACCAGUACUAAUGAACCGUGAGGCUUAACCUGACAACACCGAAAGUGUUUUG